UACGUAGGGUGCGAGCGUUAAUCGGAUUUACUGGGCGUAAAGCGUGCGCAGGCGGCCGUGAAAGUCCGGUGUGAAAACUCACGGCUCAACCGUGGGACUGCGCUGGAAACUACACGGCUUGAGGACGGUAGAGGGAGACGGAACUGCUGGUGUAGGGGUGAAAUCCGUAGAUAUCAGCAGGAACGCCGGUGGAGAAGUCGGUCUCCUGGGCCGUUCCUGACGCUGAGGCCCGAAAGCUAGGGGAGCAAACCGG
rnacentral:rRNA from 1 species